rnacentral:tRNA from 3 species
GCUCCUGUAGCCCAAUGGAAGAGGCGAUCGCCUUAGAAGCGAUGCGUUGCGGGUUCAAAUCCUGCCAGGAGUACCA